rnacentral:rRNA from 1 species
CGCGUAAGUGAUCUAUCCCUGUAUCUGGAAUAACUAUGGGAAACUGUAGCUAAUACCGGAUACGUUCAUGUGAUUGCGAUUAUGUGAAGAAAGAUGGCCUCUGACAUAAGCUAUCGUACAGGGAGGAGCUUGCGUACCAUUAGCUAGUUGGCAGGGUAAAGGCCUACCAAGGCGACGAUGGUUAGCGGGUCUGAGAGGAUGAUCCGCCACACUGGAACUGAAACACGGACCAGACUCCUACGGGAGGCAGCAGUGAGGAAUAUUGCGCAAUGGGGGCAACCCUGACGCAGCGACGCCGCGUGGAUGAUGAAGGCCUUCGGGUCGUAAAAUCCUGUCGGAUGGAAAGAAGUGUGAUGUGGUUAAUACCCAUGUCAUUUGACGGUACCAUCAGAGGAAGCACCGGCUAACUCCGUG